UGAGAAUAAAAACACUAACUUUUGAUUAUCAUCUAAAGUAUUAAAAUUAUCAUUAAAAGUUUCAGCAACAUGAUAUAAAUGGUUUCUAAAAUCGUCAUAAAGAGGACAUCUUAAUAAAACAUGCGCUUCAUCUUCAAUAAAAACGUCACAUAUAUGGCACACUCUAUUUUCUAAAACAAUAUUUUCAUAUCUCCCUGUUUCAAUUCUAAGGGGAGCAACACCACAUCUAAAUUUGGCGAAAGCACUUCUGUGACUGAAGGGUAAAGCUAUUUUGCAGUAUUCCUCUGGUUCAAAAUUUCCCUUAAACAGUCUGUAAGUUCGUAGCUUAUUGCCACCUCUACCCGAUAUAGAUUUAUCAGAAUGCAAAACAGCAUGCCAAUUAUCGACAUGUUUUCUAUGUAAUUUUGACAUAAACAUUUUUAUAACAUAGUUAGUGUCCAUAUUUUCAGGACACGAUAAAUGACUUAAAUUUAGUUCACAGAAGGUUUUCUUUACUAAAAAAUUCCAGUUUUUAACACACUUAUGCUUAAUACUCAUACUAUCAGCCCACUUGUGAACUUUUGCAUUUAACCGGUUUGAGCU
rnacentral:lncRNA from 1 species